GUGGAGAGGCUCUUGUGUCCAAGGCUGGCUUCAAACUAGCUACAAAGCCAAGGAUGGCCUUGAAUUUCUAAAUACCCGGAUUAAAGGUGAACAUCACUGAACCUGGAUUGUGAGGUCCUAGAAACAGAGCCCAGAGCUACCCGCAGCCAAACAAGCAGUCUAGCAGGCCUUGUCCAGCUGAGGUUCGCUCACUCUGUUCUGAUCCAGAGGAGAUUGCUGAGCCAUGUCAACUUGCCUGCUACCAUGUUCCCCAUCAUGACGGUCCUGAAUUCUAACCCUCUGGAAUGGAAUGAAUUUUCUACUGAAAACUCCCUAUUUCAAACCCUGCUGCCUCCUAUGCUUCCGGGAUUCCACAUUAGGACUCUGUCUCAAUACAGGUAGGUGUGCAAACCCUUACACAACCCCUGGAAUGAGAUUGGGUGCCUUUCCUCUAUGCUCCUAGACAUAUGUCUCCCAUCCUGACUUCUACUGGCCUUGUUCUUGUAGACAGUGACUCCUCCAAGAUAGAAACUCUGCUCUGUUUGCCAAGAUUCUCCUACACCAAUGAUUGACAUUAGGUGACAUCACAGAAAUAUCUGAUAAAUGAAGGACCAGCCAAUCAUCUACUAACUCUUAUCUGAAGGCUACUUAUUAUUUCCCUUCACCAGAUUAUUGCACUUGGAUCCUUAAACUCGUGAGUUAGCCAUCCCUAAUAAUUUAAGAGCCAACAAAUAAUUUAAGAGUAUUCUCUAUGAGCCAGACACUGACCUUGAAACUACCAGAAAGAGACACACAUCAAGCAUAUUGUGGAGGAUAUAUUAUACUUGACAAUUGGAAGACAAUGAGAAAGAACUGGAAAAU
rnacentral:sRNA from 1 species